UUCAACAAGUUGUUUUACUCAUUCAUCGUGUGACACAUCCAACGAUCCAAAACCAACAGAUGAAGUUGAUCCGACGGCUCCGAUCGAUUAGAAAUCGCGCACCUCCCUCUGUUCCCUAUCAGCAUCGUGCAAAACGCUACCCCACCCGGCUCGUAGGGCGCUGAUCGCGCAACUCCUAAUCUCCUCUCGCAUGCGAUCGAUCCUCCGCCCUCCCGUACGCAUUACGGCCGACUCCCGACGCCUCCGCUUCGGCCAAUCGACGCCGUCAUCCUCUCUCGCCUCGCGCGCCGUCAUCCUUGCCGAUAGGAUUAUAACCGGGCAUCGGCGUCUGUCUCGCUGCCGUCACCCCGCGCCGACGGGUGUGGCACUGUGGCGUCCUGACCGUAUUCACAGUUCCUCACCACCUGGAUGGCCGAGAAGGAGGGGAUCAUGAUCGACCAGGUCGGCUGCACUGGUUGAAUUACCUCCAGCCUGACGUGUGACGUCAAGCACUGCAACUUCAGCGCCAAGGAGCAGCUGCAGAACCUCUUUGAUUGACCUGAUUCAGGGUUGGGCAUGCAAUGAUGGUCCUGUGACUACCCGAAGAGCACAAUCAAACAACAUGAUGUAAGCGCCAUAAAGUUGACAGACUUUUGGCCACAGCGAGAAAGGGCACCGACAAAACCAUUGGGUUGAUGGUCGAAGGUGGCCAGUGCCUUCGUAGGUGAGAGAAAUAUGGAUUUGCCGAUUUGCAAAAAAGAUAGUAGUGUUGCUCCUUCUAAUGGUGACCAGGUCAUGUGAACAGGACAAAAUAAAAGGGAAAAUGUGUUUGAUGGGAGGUGAAUAGGAAUUGCUAAUUAUUUAUGAUUUAUAAGAAAAAUGGUAAACUUCUUAUUGUAAAUAAUGAAUUCUAUUGUAAACGAGAUAUAAAUCAAACAUUGGAUGGUGAUGGAUGGUGUGGACUUUUAUGUCUACUCACUGAUUAUCAAAGUUGUACAUUAGGAAUUACAUGGUUUCAGAAGAUGGAACAGUUAUAAUAUCAUUAUUUUUCUAAAAAACUAAACCUAUCUCAUUUUAUGCUUGAUAGCCAAAACAUAUAAUUCUCUUGAUUGUUUGAUUUGCAUUAAUAAAUACUACCGUAACGUUAGUACGAGCAUAUUACUAGUAUACUAUAGUUGAUAAAAUACAGUGAUAAUAAAUUUAGCAUGCAUCAUCAUAUGAAGCUGACACUUGUAAAUAAAUAUGACAGCUUCAAAAGUAUCCUCAUGUGAAAUUUGAUUCUAAGACAAACAAACUUAGGCCCUGUUUAAGACCCUGUUUAGAUGGGAUUAAAACCUUUUAAUCUCUAUUGCAUCGGAUGUUUGGUCACUAAUUAUAAAUAUUAAACGUAGACUAUUAAUAAAACCCAUUCUAU